rnacentral:rRNA from 1 species
GAUGAACGCUGGCGGCGUGCUUAACACAUGCAAGUCGAACGGGAUCCAUCAGGCUUUGCUUGGUGGUGAGAGUGGCGAACGGGUGAGUAAUGCGUGACCGACCUGCCCCAUACACCGGAAUAGCUCCUGGAAACGGGUGGUAAUGCCGGAUGCUCCGACUCCUCGCAUGGGGUGUCGGGAAAGAUUUCAUCGGUAUGGGAUGGGGUCGCGUCCUAUCAGGUAGUCGGCGGGGUAACGGCCCACCGAGCCUACGACGGGUAGCCGGCCUGAGAGGGCGACCGGCCACAUUGGGACUGAGAUACGGCCCAGACUCCUACGGGAGGCAGCAGUGGGGAAUAUUGCACAAUGGGCGCAAGCCUGAUGCAGCGACGCCGCGUGCGGGAUGACGGCCUUCGGGUUGUAAACCGCUUUUGAUCGGGAGCAAGCCUUCGGGUGAGUGUACCUUUCGAAUAAGCACCGGCUAACUACGUGCCAGCAGCCGCGGUAAUACGUAGGGUGCAAGCGUUAUCCGGAAUUAUUGGGCGUAAAGGGCUCGUAGGCGGUUCGUCGCGUCCGGUGUGAAAGUCCAUCGCUUAACGGUGGAUCUGCGCCGGGUACGGGCGGGCUGGAGUGCGGUAGGGGAGACUGGAAUUCCCGGUGUAACGGUGGAAUGUGUAGAUAUCGGGAAGAACACCAAUGGCGAAGGCAGGUCUCUGGGCCGUUACUGACGCUGAGGAGCGAAAGCGUGGGGAGCGAACAGGAUUAGAUACCCUGGUAGUCCACGCCGUAAACGGUGGAUGCUGGAUGUGGGGCCCGUUCCACGGGUUCCGUGUCGGAGCUAACGCGUUAAGCAUCCCGCCUGGGGAGUACGGCCGCAAGGCUAAAACUCAAAGAAAUUGACGGGGGCCCGCACAAGCGGCGGAGCAUGCGGAUUAAUUCGAUGCAACGCGAAGAACCUUACCUGGGCUUGACAUGUUCCCGACAGCCGUAGAGAUAUGGCCUCCCUUCGGGGCGGGUUCACAGGUGGUGCAUGGUCGUCGUCAGCUCGUGUCGUGAGAUGUUGGGUUAAGUCCCGCAACGAGCGCAACCCUCGCCCUGUGUUGCCAGCACGUCAUGGUGGGAACUCACGGGGGACCGCCGGGGUCAACUCGGAGGAAGGUGGGGAUGACGUCAGAUCAUCAUGCCCCUUACGUCCAGGGCUUCACGCAUGCUACAAUGGCCGGUACAACGGGAUGCGACACGGCGACGUGGAGCGGAUCCCUGAAAACCGGUCUCAGUUCGGAUUGGAGUCUGCAACCCGACUCCAUGAAGGCGGAGUCGCUAGUAAUCGCGGAUCAGCAACGCCGCGGUGAAUGCGUUCCCGGGCCUUGUACACACCGCCCGUCAAGUCAUGAAAGUGGGUAGCACCCGAAGCCGGUGGCCUAACCCUUUGUGGA